rnacentral:lncRNA from 1 species
AGUCUGUGGCAGAGCUCGAACAGACCGGGCUCUAACCCUGGGGGGGCCAUGUGGCUGGCAACAUGAGAAAACCAGUGGAGGAGUUCAGACAAACAUGCCGGCCUUUGUCGCCCAGCAGCUGGAGAAAAAAAGCCUUUUACUCCAGGGGGAAGGAAUGGUAGGAGCUGGGAUUCAGGAAGUACAACGCCAGGAUAAAGCACAAAAUUAUAAGCUUCAAACUGCUCCAGAGAAAAGCUCUUCCAAAGUUUGACCCCCCAGGAUGGGCGGAAAAUAUGAGUGUUUACUGGCUGGGACAUGGAGCUGCAACGGAAAUUUCAACAUUUAGAAGACAGCAGAGAGGAAGGGCCUGCUGUGGAGAAAGAAGUCGCCCUUCAACAAAGGGGUCAGGAAAGGAAGAGCUCCUUGCUGUCCCAGCUCUGCUCCCUUCUGUCCUCAGGUCCUCAGCGGGGAAAGGUGGACUCCCUGCGGUCCAGCGCCACAAGUGCCAUGCACGCACGCACGCACAGGUGCAGUGGCCAGUUUUACAGCAACGGGUCACUCAGCCAAGUGGUGUAGUUACACUGCAUCUCAGUAUGGGAAUGCCUGCGGCCUUGUCAAGCAGACUAUCCAAGAAUGCAGUGAAACGUUCUCCAAAGGAACAAGGUUUGGAUUUUAACACGAAAAUGGAAUAUGUGCAAAUACUUUAUAUGGAAAAUAAAG